GAUGAACGCUGGCGGCGUGCUUAACACAUGCAAGUCGAGCGAGAAGUUAUUGAUGGAUUCUUCGGAUGACAGAUAUAACGGACAGCGGCGGACGGGUGAGUAACGCGUGGGUAACCUGCCCUGUACAGAGGGAUAGCCACUGGAAACGGUGAUUAAUACCUCAUAAGAUUACGGUAUCGCAUGAUACAGUGAUCAAAGCUCCGGCGGUACAGGAUGGACCCGCGUCUGAUUAGCUAGUUGGUAAGGUAACGGCUUACCAAGGCGACGAUCAGUAGCCGGCCUGAGAGGGUGAACGGCCACACUGGAACUGAGACACGGUCCAGACUCCUACGGGAGGCAGCAGUGGGGAAUAUUGCACAAUGGGCGAAAGCCUGAUGCAGCAACGCCGCGUGAGCGAAGAAGGCCUUCGGGUCGUAAAGCUCUGUCCUCAGGGAAGAAUUUUGACGGUACCUGAGGAGGAAGCCCCGGCUAACUACG
rnacentral:rRNA from 2 species